rnacentral:misc_RNA from 1 species
UAUGACACGAAAAGUCGAACCAGUCAGCCGGAUAGGCGCUUUAACUUGACAAGAUUAAAAUCUUCAGUAUACAAAGGGAAAGAAAGAAAGAAAUCACACUAUAGCAGAAUCAACAGGUGUUUGGACCAACCAAGCACCACUGUUGAGAUACAAUCCUAAAAAGAGAAUUGGUUGAGCACCUACUACAUCACAACAUAUUGUAGGCACAUCCUCAUCCACCCUCUAAGGUUAAAGAUCAUUUACUCAGAAACAGAACAGUAUGAGAGACCGACAAUCCGAUAGCAUUUCUGGACUAUAUGCACCUUAUAAUCAAUUUACUUUACCAAUUGGGGCUGCUAAAGAAUGAUAGCAACUUCAUUAUAAAUUCUAAGUGGCUUGCGCUCAAUAUAUCCUUUGCUUCACUCUUCUUCCAUUCACGUCAGUGCCAUCCAGAAUGUGCCCACCAUGUACAUAAGAAAUGAUUGCAUGUUCAUUCAUCCCAGCAACAUACUUAAGCAAUUCCGUGAUGACAGAAGGGCAACUCUCCUUCAAGUGAUCAA